CGGGCUUAAAAUGCAAGUCGAGCGGUAACAGGAAGUAGCUUGCUGCUUCGCUGACGAGUGGCGGACGGGUGAGUAAUGUCUGGGAAACUGCCUGAUGGAGGGGGAUAACUACUGGAUACGGUAGCUAAUACCGCAUAACGUCGCAAGACCAAAGAGGGGGACCUUCAGGCCUCUUGCCAUCGGAUGUGCCCACAUGGGAUUAGCUAGUAGGUGGGGUAACGGCUCACCUAGGCGACGAUCCCUAGCUGGUCUGAGAGGAUGACCACCCACACUGGAACUGAGACACGGUCCAGACUCCUACGGGAGGCAGCAGUGGGGAAUAUUGCACAAUGGGCGCAAGCCUGAUGCAGCCAUGCCGCGUGUAUGAAGAAGGCCUUCGGGUUGUAAAGUACUUUCAGCGGGGAGGAAGGGAGUAAAGUUAAUACCUUUGCUAAUUGACGUUACCCGCAGAAGAAGCACCGGCUAACUCCGUGCCACCACGCAAAGUAAAAAA
rnacentral:rRNA from 1 species